AAGGCACUUCUCUGGGCCGUAACUGACGCUGAGAGCGAAAGCGUGGGGAGCGAACAGGAUUAGAUACCCUGGUAGUCCACGCCGUAAACGUUGGGCGCUAGAUGUGGGUCACAUUCCACGUGAUCCGUGUCGCAGCUAACGCAUUAAGCGCCCCGCCUGGGGAGUACGGCCGCAAGGCUAAAACCCAAAGGAAUUGACGGGGGCCCGCACAAGCGGCGGAGCAUGCGGAUUAAUUCGAUGCAACGCGAAGAACCUUACCAAGACUUGACAUAUUCAGGAGAACUGCAGAAAUGUAGUCCCCCGCAAGGGUCUGUUUACAGGUGGUGCAUGGUUGUCGUCAGCUCGUGUCGUGAGAUGUUGGGUUAAGUCCCGCAACGAGCGCAACCCUCGUCCUAUGUUGCCAGCACGUUAUGGUGGGAACUCAUGGGAGACUGCCGGGGUCAACUCGGAGGAAGGUGGGGAUGACGUCAAAUCAUCAUGCCCCUUAUGUCUUGGGCUUCACGCAUGCUACAAUGGCCGGUACAAAGGGCUGCAAUACCGCAAGGUGGAGCGAAUCCCAAAAAGCCGGUCUCAGUUCGGAUUGAGGUCUGCAACUCGACCUCAUGAAGUCGGAGUCGCUAGUAAUCGCAGAUCAGCAACGCUGCGGUGAAUACGUUCCCGGGCCUUGUACACACCGCCCGUCAAGUCACGAAAGUCGGUAACACCCGAAGCCGGUGGCCUAACCGUAAGGAAG
rnacentral:rRNA from 1 species